rnacentral:rRNA from 1 species
GAUGAACGCUGGCGGCGUGCCUAACACAUGCAAGUCGAACGAGAACCCAUUCUUCGGAUUGGGGGACAGUGGCGAACGGGUGAGUAACACGUUGGUGACCUGCCCCGAAGCGGGGGACAACCACGGGAAACUGUGGCUAAUACUGCAUGUGCUCCAGAGGGUUAGAGGACUCUGGAGUAAAGCUCCGGCGCUUCGGGAGGGCCUGCGGCCUAUCAGCUAGUUGGUGGGGUAAUGGCCUACCAAGGCUAAGACGGGUAGGGGGCGUGAGAGCGUCGGCCCCCCACAAUGGAACUGAGACACGGUCCAUACUCCUACGGGAGGCAGCAGUGAGGAAUAUUGCGCAAGUACGGGGGAAACCCUGACGCAGCAACGCCGCGUGGGUGACGAAGGCCGUUCGGGUACGUAAACCCUUUUCUGGGGAAGAGAAAGGACGGUACCUCAGGAAUAAGUCCCGGCUAACUACGUG